UUUUAUCACUACUGUAGAGUUGUUUAUGAAUACAAAAUGAGCAUAUCUCUGAUCAUUUGUGUGUAAAAAUAGAGUAAAACACUGAAUUAUCAGAAAUACAGGUCUGUCAUGAAUGAAAAUAUAUGAAUAUUUAUUUCAAACAGAAAUUUGCAAGUAUUCAAAGCAAAACACACCCUGUAACUAGCAUACUGACUUGAAGCACAGGACAGAUUAAUCUUUUUCAAUGACAGCAUCAAGUAGCUCUUCUAUUUAUUUUAAUUUGCAUGCUUUUUCAUGAAACAGACAGCAAAUUUCAAUACAAGUUUGAAUAAUUAAUACAGGUACAUAUCUCAAAAUUUCUCACAAAUUGUGUUUUUGAUGCCAUAUGGCAUUUGUUUUUGAUGUAAUUGUUUCUUUUUAUACCCCAUGUCAGUGUAUAUGCAUUUUGUCUCCUUUAUUUCUUACAUCAUGACUGAAUUAACAUCAAAUUGCUUAAACUAUUUUCAGAAUCAUGGCCAAAAAAUGGCAUUAACUAAGAUGCACAAUUGAAAAACAUCAGUGGCUGGAAAAAAAUCAAGUCAUGUGCAGUGAAAAGAAUAAAUACAACACAGUAAUCAGAUUGGAAUCUUAUGUAGUAUUAAGAGUGGAUUUUUUUACAAUGGACCAGACCUCAUGACAAAUGUACAACUGAUGUCAAUAACAAAUAUUCUCUUUGUGCUGCUAUUUUAUCCAAAAGUAUUUGAUGGCUAUGACCUUGUUCCAAGUCACAUUCACAUAGCUGAGCAUUAAAGUGUUGCCUUGUUUUCAUUCAAGAGGUCACAGAUGCUCCAUUGAUGUGCAUAGCUUAUUGUCACAUAUCAAUUAUGGCUGAAAUCAACGGACAGUUAGCAUUGUAGACUAUGUAUUAGUGACAAAGAAAUAAAAAUUCACACAAAAAAAAUCUCCAGACAUUGUGAAAAAGCAUAAGAUGUUGGAAUGAGAUGUACAUAUAAGAGAAUGAAAUAAAAUUCAUGUCUUCAAUUUA